AUGCACACUUUGUAGUUGAAUUUCAAUGAGCAUGCACUAAAUUUUAUUUCAAAUAGAAUAACAGGUGUUCAAUUAAUCCUAUUCAGUCCAGUGGCUAGUUGCCUUGGAAAAGUUGGCCUCUACUCUAUAGCAUAAUUUUAAUUUCUUUUAACUAUUCUCCUUUCAUUCUUUGAAACAGAAGACAAGUUUUUGCAUGAUUUGUCACUGCAUUUUUGUAGGUUGUGGAAGAUCUGUAUUUUG
rnacentral:misc_RNA from 1 species